GUGAUAGUGGCGCACGGGUGCGUAACGCGUGGGAAUCUGCCCUUGGGUUCGGAAUAACUCAGAGAAAUUUGAGCUAAUACCGGAUGAUGACGUAAGUCCAAAGAUUUAUCGCCCAAGGAUGAGCCCGCGUAGGAUUAGCUAGUUGGUGGGGUAAAGGCCCACCAAGGCGACGAUCCUUAGCUGGUCUGAGAGGAUGAUCAGCCACACUGGGACUGAGACACGGCCCAGACUCCUACGGGAGGCAGCAGUGGGGAAUAUUGGACAAUGGGCGAAAGCCUGAUCCAGCAAUGCCGCGUGAGUGAUGAAGGCCUUAGGGUUGUAAAGCUCUUUUACCCGGGAUGAUAAUGACAGUACCGGGAGAAUAAGCUCCGGCUAACUCCGUGCCAGCAGCCGCGGUAAU
rnacentral:rRNA from 1 species